rnacentral:misc_RNA from 1 species
UAAGAAAUACAUAUACAAAGCUUCAAGCUUAUUCACUGCAAUAUUAAAACUAUGUGACACAGGUGAUGCAUCUACUACAUCUUGGUCACGGGCUAUAAUAAAUCAUCGUCGUUAUUUGAAAAAACAUAGGAACAGGAUUCUGUAGCUUAGACAACGUCUAAGCGACGUGGAUAACAGAAACUCGCAAAAGCAAGAUCCACUCUUCAAACAAAGUAACAACAUUACAAACCCAACAGUCAGACAACUAAUUUACAUCUAUGAAAAUCCAGGAUACAUGUAUUCUUAUGCCCAACUUCAUCCUUCGUUUCUCAGCUAGUAUAUCAAACUGCUUUUUCGGAUGAUGCAUUUUCUGCUUUGCCAUCAAAUUUUGCCUUCUUCGCCUCGUAAUCCUUCACAGCAGCCUUAAUUGCAUCCUCAGCAAGCAUACUGCAGUGCAGUUUAACAGGUGGGAGGGAGAGAUGUUUUGCUAUCUCCGUGUUCUUUAUGGACAGUACUUCCUCCAUUUGUCUUCCUUUCACCCACUCAGUAGCGACGGAUGAAGAAGCAAUUGCAGAGCCACAACCAAAGGUCUUAAAACAAGCAUCCGUAAUUUUCCCCGUCUGUUCAUCGACCUUGAUUUGAAGCUUCAUCACAUCCCCACAAGCCGGAGCUCCGACAAGACCCGUACCAACAGUGGGAUCGUUCUUGUCAAAGGACCCAACGUUUCGGGGAUUAUUGUAAUGGUCCACCACUCUUUCAUGAUAGAGCCGGGUCAAAACCCCUCGCGUCACCGGCGAUCGUUGCCCUAGCCCCAAAAUUCGAUUUCCGACGUGCUUCAACAUCUUCGUAAUUUGCCCUAAUUCGUUGAAUUUGGGAAUUAAGGAGCUAUGUCGAUGCGUGUGUUGUUGUAUAUAUAUGAUGAGGUUCCCGUUUGUGUGGAAGAAGACGAGAGGCG